rnacentral:rRNA from 1 species
UACGAAGGGGGCUAGCGUUGCUCGGAUUGACUGGGCGUAAAGGGCGCGUAGGCGGAUAGUAAAGUCAGGCGUGAAAUUCCUGGGCUCAACCUGGGGGCUGCGUUUGAUACGUAUUGUCUGGAGUUCGGAAGAGGGUCGUGGAAUUCCCAGUGUAGAGGUGAAAUUCGUAGAUAUUGGGAAGAACACCGGUGGCGAAGGCGGCGACCUGGUCCGAUACUGACGCUGAGGCGCGAAAGCGUGGGGAGCAAACAGG